CCGGCGACCGGCGCACGGGUGAGUAACACGUAUGCAACCUGCCCUCUUCAGGGGGACAACCUUCCGAAAGGGAGGCUAAUCCCGCGUAUAUCGGUUUCGGGCAUCCGAGAUCGAGGAAAGAUUCAUCGGAAGAGGAUGGGCAUGCGGCGCAUUAGCUAGACGGCGGGGUAACGGCCCACCGUGGCGACGAUGCGUAGGGGUUCUGAGAGGAAGGUUCCCCACACUGGUACUGAGACACGGACCAGACUCCUACGGGAGGCAGCAG
rnacentral:rRNA from 1 species